AUGGAAUUCUUGGAGGAAUGAAUUACUGCACACAGACCAAGUGUCCAGAGUAGGGCCUGGUACAUUAACGGGCAUCACUGAAGCAGGGGUUCACGUCAGCAUUCUGGUUCCAUCAACACUUUCUCUGGCUCCAUUAUAGAAUGGUAUAAAUACUCUCUUCUUGGGGGGGGGGACACCUAAACUGUGGAGAAGGGUGUAAAGCAGGGCUUCUCAACUGGGGGUUGGUUUGCCCUCUGCCCAAGGGAUAUCUGGCAGCACCUACAGACAUCUUUGGCUUUUUAGGACUUGGGAGGGAGGCAGGAGCGACUGGCAUCUAGUGAGGAGAGGCCAGGGUUGCUGGGAAGCGUCCCGCAAGGCACAGGAAGGCCCUACAGCCGAGUUACCCACACCGCAAAUCAAUAGCGUGAGGGUGAGAAACUCGGAGAGAAGGUCAAACAGCAAAGUCUCUUGGCCCCUGAGUCCCGCGUCUCCCGUGUGUCCAGCACCGCUCGAUUCCUCCUCACGGGGUCGUCCCCACCAACAUCCACACUCUACCCCCCGAUGACAGUGAGCUAGUCAUAAACAAGAACAACACACCAAGAGUCAGGUGUGGCCCCUGGGGGUCCCCGGCCAUGCUCUGCUCCGCCUCCCAAGCUACGCAAGGCAAGGUGGGCUCUGCCUCCUUUGAGAAUCGCCUGCCGUGAAGAGCAGCGGGUCCUACGACCUGCACCUGCGGGGCCCAGGCUGCUGGAGUGUGGAGACCAGGGAGGGAGGAUGGCCGUGACCCAGGCCAGGCAUGACGGUGACCGCGGCCAGGGUGGUGAUGCUGAGGAGGAGGACCGUGGUUGGACCGGAGGCAGGGAGUGACCAAUCAGUGAUGGCAGGACAUCUGGGGCGGGGGAGGCACCAAGACAGUCCCUGGCUGGGGGACCCUGCAGGUGGAUGCGGGAGCAGCUGCUCAUUGGGCAGGUAGACAGGCACCAGGAGAGGGCUUGUCACGCGCAGAAUUACAUGAGGGCGUGACCCCGGAGGGCAACCUUGCUUAUCACACGUCUGGUCCCAGGCCCUGACGGCACAGAGCCUGGGAAUGGACCGUGACUGUCCGAGUGACGCUCGGCAUGGCUUGUGCCCACCCCUUUGCUUUACGCGUCCUGCCACUUCCCAGGGAACACAUGGUACCCAGGACCCAUCGAUCCCCGCACAUCAGAGGGAUCUGUCUACUUAAGGAUGCCGGCCCCUGGCUUUGGAAGGAGUCACAUGGAGGGAGAGGCAAAAAGAUACGCGGGUGUGCUCUACGGAUGCGGGUCACCACCAAGCGAGGCAGAAGGGGAGUGCGUGUCGGAUGGGUGACUGCCCCCUGCAAAGGCCUGAUCACAGCGUGGAUGGGUCACUGAACGAGGACGGGGAGACGGAGGCAGGAAGGGGGGCUCCAUGAGCACCCACUCGCACGCAGAGAAAUCAGAGCACCACCCUUGCUCUCAGGCGGACACACCCAUUUUGCUCCUGGGUCUCCCCGCGCCGCCGCGCCGUGAUGCAGCAAGCCAGGGAUGCGGAGGAUCCACCCAGGCCCCCCUCCCAGAUACAUCGCUGGCACUGACCAGAGAUCUGGCUCAGGGCUGGUGUGGUCCUCCCCUGGCAAACCGAGGGGUCUCCCCAGGGCUGCAUGUUCUAGAGUUUUUAAGAUGCAGAGAGAGAAGCAUAUUCAAAUUCAGAGCUGGCGGGACCCUAAGAAAAGGAAUGCGCCCAGCCCACAGGGUCCAUGAAAACCAAGCCCUGAUCACCUAAAUAUAGACUAACUUCUAAAUAAGGCUUCAGAUCACAGAUUUGUUUACUUUCAUUUGGUGAUAAUUGUUCACAGCAGAACAUAUCAGAAAAUUCUAUAAUAGGAACCACAGCCAGGAAAGAGUAAAUAAUUAAUCACCCUCCCUCCCAGCCUCUUGCAUCUCUGUUGAUAUAAAUGACCGUAUAAUUCCAAACCCAAUUAUCACUACUUAGCCGUUCCAUUUUGUAGUUAAAAUCCCACAAAAUUAAAGUGCAUCAAUUGUUAAUGGUAAUAGACCAGACAAGGGAUUAAAGAUUAUUUUAAUGUUUAUUUCCUGUCAAGAGAUCUUUUGGCAGGAAACACCGCAGACAAAAGGCAGCAAGCUCAGAUGAGAUUCAUAUAUUUAAAUCUUCUAACUUCUAAAAACAUUAUGGAUAUAAUUACUUGUUUAAUUUACUUGUUCCCUCAAGAUACAGGCUGGGGAGAUCAAGCCAACUUUAUUAUAUCCAGUUCUCGGAGAGGAAAGACACUGCUCUGCAGCAUUUUAUAAGCUAGUUUGUCCUCAGUAAUCAAAUCAGAUUUAGAGCCCACGUCCCAGGACUGAUGACAGGGGCGAGAGGCAGAGGCAGAGGCCAGUGUGGGAGGGGACGGGGCCCCACAACACCCCUCAGGCCUGCACCCACAGGGCUGUGCGGCCGAGGCACACCCCCACGCUCCCCUGAGCCUCAGUUUCCUUGUGCAUAAGAUAGAGUCAGGCCAAAGUCACCACCGGCUCAGAAUGCAAACACAGGCGUGGUGAUGCACCUCUGAUGGCCUGUAAGGUGGUCACCCAGAAGAGCCUUAGGUGCUUAGUUCACCUUUCUAGGUUAUCGCUGAGAUGAACACACGUGCACUUGCUCACACACACACACACACACACUCACACACACAAACACUCACAGGAGAUGCCGGUUAAGAAAGGUUAAGAACUUCAAAGGCAUAAACAAAUGAGGGAGGGAUGGCUAGACAGACAAAAAGAGUAACUGCUCACCUGAAAAACUGUUUAGAUGAUGGAGAAAUCAGAAUCUAGAAUAUAAGAUAUGUAAGAGUGUGUGUGCGUGUGCACGCGCAUGCCUGUGUAUAGAGAGGAGGGAGAGGGGAGGGGGCAGGAUGGUUGGAUGGACGGACAGAUAGAUGGAUAGAGAGAGAAACAAAAAUCGUAACUGCUCACCUGAAAUGACUAUUUAGAUCAUGGAGAAAUCAGAAUCUACAAAGAACUUGAGACUCGCUUCCAGGUGCUCAGUCAAUUCUUUCCGGCUCCUUUCUGCCACCUUCCUUAGAAUAUAAAAAACACGAAGGCGGCGGUAUCUGUGCGCUGCCCUACUGCUAGCACUGAAAAUCGAGCCUGGCCUGUAGUAGGAGAUACGCCCUUGACAAAUGUCCCUGGAGCAUACUGUGACAAUGACAAUAACUGUGCGACCACUUACUGUUUCUCCGAGGGAACUCCUGUCUCCUGAUUCUCGGGUCAGUAUAUCAACUUCCUUAACUCGUAAGGGGUCUGGGGAUGAGAGGGGUUGAGACACUCGGCGGGAAUCGCACACACAGGCGCAGGGUGCCAACCAGCGUGAGAACCACACUGCCCGACCUUGCAUCCUGGGCUCACUCCCUGUCAUCACUCGGGCUCUUGGAGAGCGUCGCGCUACGGGAAGCCAGGGGGAGGCACUUUGCUUUAAGCAGCAAACAGACGACCAAAAAAAGAAGCUUGUGCAGUGGUCUGGGUUCCCCAAGCGGGACGUGACCUUGGGCCCAUCUUCAACUCUGAAUCGCUGCUUCUCCUUCUGCACACAUCUUUGCAGUGGGCAGAUUUUAUAUUUGCUCAUGCCACUAAAAUGACUCAGGGUGUGUUGACCUGAAAGUAACAGAUGCAUGAUUCAAGUCCAACUCAAAACUGCAAGUCCAGAGGAAGAGAGGCCACAGGCACAGGGGAACCAGCAGCUCACAAUGCCCCACUUAUCCAGGUUUUUCACUUGCUUCUCUGACCCCUUUGGGGACAGCUUCGCCUCACGCUGGAAGGCCUCUUGGGCACAAGGCGGCUGCAGUGCGUCCAGGCUGAGUCAACAUCCAACAGAAGCAGAAAGUCUAUCUUUUCCUUAUGCAACACUUUUAGGAGUAAGAAAACCUUUCCCAGAAGUGCCCCCCAUUUUCGGAGGUCAGGGUUGGGUCACACAUCUGGUUCUAAGCCAAUUACAUUUGCUUGUUUCAUGGCUUCGGUUCAUUGGUAUAGGUGAAGGGAUGCCGGGAGUCAGCUGUCAUAACUAUUAUGCUCAAAUGACAAAAUCUGAGGCAAAAGUAAGUCAUUAAAUAAACUCGAGUCCUUAUUUUUAAGAGUGCAGGGCCCGUUUCACGUUUUAUGUAAGUCAUUAUGCGACACACCUUAACCUGACACAGUGCUGUAUAGGUCAGUUACAUCUCCAUUAAACUGGGAAAAAAUAAUUUUUAAAUAAAGACGAAUAAGCAAAUUUUCUGAAAAAAAAAAAAGAGAAAAAUACAGCGUUCAAACUGUAAAACAGCCUAAUUACCCAACACCAGAGAAAGAGUUAAACAAAAUAGAAUUCAUUCAUAUGAUACACUCUUACGACAACACUGAGGCAUUUUUCUAUGCAAUGUUUAGUGACAUGAGAAAUUCUUAUUUAAGAUAAAGAAAUUCUUACUUAGGAAACUCUUACAUACAUACAUGUACGUACACACAUAUUCACAUAGAUCAUGAGCCCAACUUUUUAAAACGUCAUUACUCAGAAGAAAGAAAAAAGAACGAAGACCACAUUAUUAAGAGUAAUCACCUCAGGCAGGGGAACUAAUGGAACAUUUUAAUUCCGCAUCAACUCCUAAAUUGUUUCCUUCUCCUUCUUCUCCUAUCAUGCAUAAGAUACACUACAAAGCUGAAAAACAAAAGUUGGCUUUUCAAAGCAACAAGUGACUCUGGAUGGGGAAAAAGAAAAUCAAAUCGGGUUCCAUGCCUGGGUCUGGUCCCAAAAUUUGCUUAAAUUGCCAGGUAAGAAAGGUCAAGAAAUUCACAGUCUAAUAAAACGUACAUGUAAAAAAGAAAUGUCUGCUGAUCUACCAACUGUGUUUGAUCACAGAGAGCUCAGAAUCUACCAAGAAAAGAAAUCUAGCAUCUUUGCCCCAGCACCCAAUUCUCAGGCGUGACAAAUCUUGAAUUCUGGACGGUGGGAGCAUCUCGGCUGGGAGUGGGGGACAGGAGCAGCUGUCUAGGGGACACACAGGGAAACCCCUAACAGGGUGAGAAACGGCAGUGCCUGGAGUGCCAGCAAAGGGAGUGGGCCGCUGAGGGGUUGUGCGAUUUAUCAGGGCUUUCUCUGCAGCCCUGUGGACCCACGACUGCAGGCGGCAUUCACAGGACACGGCUUCCAAACAUGUUAGAAAGAACUCGGAGUUCUGCUCUCAAGCUGUCUUCAGGACACCUGGCUUACUGUGCAGGUUUAUAGUUCCUGCCUUUAAAACAGUCCUGGCAACGCCCAUCACUUUCAUCUCAGAGCUGAUCAUGGCAGAAAACCAUCACUACAAGACAGCAACUGAUAACAGCGUCCGUCUCUGUGCCCGGCGCUCUGCCAGUCAUUCUACCUACACGGUAUCUAACUCCAUCAGGUAACAAUAGCUAACAAUACAUUCCAUCCCAGAGGUGGUAAAAUGAAGGCUCAAGGAGUCCCCAUUAUGCCUCAAUGGGUUAAGAACCCGACACAGUGUCCUUGACGGAGUGGGUUUAAUCCCAGCCUCAUUCAGUGGAUUAAGGAUCCAUCAUUGCCACGAGCUGAUGCAUAGGUUGCAGAUGUGGCUCAGAUUCGGCAUUGCCCUGGCUGUGGCACAGGACAGCAGGUGCAGCUCCGAUUCAACACCUAACCUGGGAACUUCCGUAGGCGGCAGGUACGGCUCGAAAAAGAAAAAAACAUAAACCAAGGCUCACAAAGAGAAAGGUUUGUUAGCAGUCCAGCCAGAGUCAUACUCGGCGGUGUGAUUCCGAUGCCGCUGCUCUUUGAUCCUGAAGCGGGGGUCAGGGACGCUGCAGCUCGGUGCCUCAGCCAAGCACUGAUGAUCAGCACCGGCGCAGGUGGCAGAGCGGGAGGCAGGGAACGUGGCCUGGAGAGACGGCCAGGGUCCCUGGACGUAUACCUGGGCAAGAGGAGGAACCGCCCAGCAUGUAACAGGUGAAGGCGGGGGUGGAGCCCUAGACCUCAGGUGAACCCCCAAGGGUGGGAUCUGGCGUGGCUCCAGCCACCGUGGCUACACGUUUAACAAUCUGCUCACACUUCCAGGACCCGUGUGGACCCAGCUCCAGGGUACAUGCUGUGCUGCUGGAGUAAGACACUGAAGAGCUGCUUGUAUUCAAGCUGACAUCAGAGAUAUUGAAGUGUCUAAUUCAAUCGUUCCAUCUUUUCGGCAGACACAAAGGACCACAGGCUUCUGGCACAGUGAGGUUCUCUCUCUUUCACCCUUUCUGUUUAAGCAUGCCAGGACACACACACACACACACACACACACACACAAAACAGGGCCGUUUAAGUAAAGACGGUUCUACGGUGGGGCUACUUUGGGGCUGAACAACGUAAGAGGCCUUGGUGGAUCCUAACACCAACUGGGAGAUGCCAGGGACAGGGGCCUUGGGCCGGGGGUGGGGAACGGUCCACUUUCCUCCUAAAUAUGACAGCUGAGCAGAUGGGCAACGGCUCCUGAGAGGAAGGGGCUAGCAGACGAACACAAGCAAAGCCGAAGUCCUGUCGGUCCCAGGCUAACAGGACCCUCCACGAAGGCGACUGGCACUGUUCCCAGGGUUUAGUGUCGACACCCCAGAGCCUGCCCACUUCUUCCCCAUGCCUUUUUCACCGGAAGGGUUGCUGCAUAGGGACUGGUAUAUAAACACUGGGACUUCCUGUGAGCAUCAGGUGGCUGGCUCACAGAAAUCCACAGUGGCACCUUUGUGGCCAGUGGAGAUUUGUGGGAUGGGGAAGACGUGGCCUAUGGAAACCCAUUCCCUAACCUUUCACCAGGCAUAAAAUUUACUGUGAAUGGAAUUCCUGAAAGCCCAUGGUGGCCUCUGAUUUAAAAGUACUAAAUCUGGCUCCCCGAGAACACCUCCAUUAUAAUAAAUACAUCACUAUGACAACACAUGCUAACUGCACAAUCUCAAAGACCAGCGUGAAUAACCCAUACGUGAAAAAUGCAUCGGAACGUGGCUGUCCUGGAUUCAUACCACCGAGGCUUUAGGAUCAGGCGGAGUCACGGGGUGAAUAUGAAACAUCUCAGGAGUAGGCUGCCAUCACGGUGGACGACAGUGUGGGGGGACCAAGCACCAGCCCCCUAAUUUCAUCCAGGUGACAAAACUCAACCUGUGUUCACUUGGAACGUGGGUGGUGUAUCCAGCUUACAGAAUCCAAGGAGGAAGUUACCUGUAAAUUUACAGAUCUGAGUAUGCUUUCCUGAAGGACACAAAGAGUGCUAAGCAGAUACACCUGCUCAGCUUCAAAGUCUGUCUUGAGGAAAUGAGAGAGACAUUAUGGUCACUGUCUGGAGUGAGCUUUUAAAAGGAAAAAGAAUGAGAUCAUUGUUUUCGUGCAACUCAGCCACACAUCUUUCUUGUUUAAUCUGCAUUCAUUCUUCCUGUUUUUCUUCUUUCUCCUCCUGGUUCCCUCCUUUCUCAGACGUUUAGGCCAGUCUAACUAGCUUUUAGUUGCUACUUAGUGAGGAAAACACAGAUAAAUUACAAGGGAGCCUGUCCUCCAGGGACUUAGUUGCAUCAGAGCCGUGGAUCAAAAUGGCGGCCAGGGUCUUGGACGGAACCCGAGACAUGAGUUUGGAUCCUUCGCUGCUUAUCACCCGGGGAAGCCAAGAUGACCUAAGUCCUGUGACUGACCUUUAACCCAGCCUGUGAAAUGGGAGCCG
rnacentral:lncRNA from 1 species